rnacentral:lncRNA from 1 species
GCUUGAGCAGGAACAAGGAAAUAGCAUAAGACAAACCAGAGGUGGGGUGGCAUCAGGUCACCUCAGGCUGCCUUCCUCACAAGGAUUGAAGCAGAGGGACUUUCUUACCACAUAGCUUACAACUGGAUCUCCCUUCUGAUUUCUCAAAUGUCAGAUAAACAACGUCGUUUCAGUUUGGUGACAUGGAAUUUAAGUAUGAGUGACUCCAUUUUGGAACAACUCUGUGGGGCUGCUUGGAAGCCCCCGGAGAGAAGCCUGAGCUGCAUCUCACCGUGUGUUUCAUCCAUGGCGUGCUCCCAGCUCUAGCGUGCGUGGAGAGAGGUCAUGGAGUGUGGUUGCUUUACUUUCUACAAAAGUUCCGAAAGCAGGAGCCCACUGGUUUCAGCAGAAUAUACAUCAUCAUGAAGUCCCCAGGAGAGGUGAACAAGGAAGGAAUGCUCUCCUCACGUUUCUGGAAGUUCCCUGAGGCCCUGCCCAGCUUCUCUUUGGUGAUAGAUGGAGUCUCAUUCUGUCACCCAAGCUGGAGUACAGUGGCGCAAUCUCAGCUCACUGCAACCUGCUUCUCCCGGGUUCAAGCGAUUCUCCUGCCUCAGCCUCCCCAGUACUGGGACUACAGGCGUGCACUACCACGCCUGGCUAAUUUUUUGUAUUUUUUAGUAGAGACGGGGUUUCACCAUGUUGGUCAGGCUGGUCUCGAAGUCCUGACCUCAGGCAAUCUGCUUGCCUCACCUCCCAAAGUGCUGGGAUUACAGACGUGAGCCACUGUGCCUGGCCCUCCCUGCUCUUCUUGUCCUGCACUGAGCAUCUCCCACCUUCUAGCAGAUCUGAUCGAUCAGUUUGUUCCAGUGUACAAUGACUGAUGAAGGCUGAAAUAUUAGUCAUUUACAUUAUAAAAAUGGAUAAUUGAAAAAUGUGCUGAUUAUCCCCCCAAAAGCCAUCGAAAGUAGCAGGCAUUUUAGACAACCCCAUUCUUGCUGGUUUCUCAACUUCAUUAACCCACGAAUGAAGAA